rnacentral:RNase_P_RNA from 1 species
AGAGACCACUGGAUGGUCGCCGCCUGCUUUAGCAGGGGGAGGAACGUCCGGACUCCACAGGACACGGUGGUGGCUAACGGCCACCCGGGGUGACCCGCGGGCUAGUGCCACAGAGAACAGACCGCUGCUUCGCAACCGAAGUGAGGCAGUAAGGGUGAAACGGUGGUGUAAGAGACCACCAGAAGUUCAGGUGACUGAACUUGCUAGGUAAACCCCACCGGGAGCAAAACCAAGUAGUACACUGGGCUGUCCGUUCAAAGUGUACGGGUAGGUUGCUUGACUUUGCUGGUAACGGCAAAGCUAGAUAGAUGGCCAUCGAAAAGGCAGGCGGUAACGCGCCUUAGAACAGAAUCCGGCUUAUAGGUGGUCUCUUCCC